UGGGGCCCAUACCUGGCCGUCGUGAUGCAAUUUUAUCUGGUAAAGUGAAUGACUAGAGGUCUUGGGGCCGAAAAGAUCUCAAAUUAUUCUCUAACUUUAAAUGGUAAGAAGCCCGGCUCGUUGGCGUGGAGCCAGGCAUAGAAUGCAAGUGCCCAGUGGGCCACUUUUGGUAAGCAGAACUAGCCAAGGAGAAAUAU
rnacentral:ncRNA from 1 species